GCACUUUGCUUUCUCUAUCUCACUUUUCUUGCAUUCAAUGAGGCAAUUUUAAUUAAAUCUCUAGAUCAAUACACCAACCAAUUAUGCACCGGAAUUUUACUCAAUUAAGCAUUGCAUCGUAAACACCAAUUAUGAACCAAAUGAUGCAAACAAUUCAAGUCAUCAUACUACAUCACAACAUCGUGAUCAAUUCAUCAAACAGUUUCAAUGCACAAAAUUAUACCACCAAAUUUUACUAAUCAAAAGAGAAACUGCACACCAAUUUCGAAACCAAUCACCGCUGCAUCACUACCAGAAACAUCAAGGGAAACACCAGAAUUUAUUAAAACAAAUUGAAUGAAUCUAAUUUUUUUUUUAAUUCAAUUAGGCAAAUAAACCUCCACUACACACAUGCAUACUCCAGCUGCUGCCAAAAUUUAAACCACAGAGGAAUUUAAGCAAACAACUUAUCUGCAGUUCUUGUUUACGUAGUUGCAAAACCAAAAUUCUCACUAAACAAUAUGAACUCUAGCUUCAAUUGAUUUUGGUUCUGCACUCCAAACUGCUCUGUUCAACGCAGAUGCCAAAUUUCACUCUAAUUCUAGAAAUCAUUUGAAUGAAACACGCACCGAUUCAAAAUGAACAAAUUGCAACCCACCGUUCACCUAUUCUCCGAUUAAUCUUCUCCAAAAUCGCUCCACAAUACGAAGAACAAUGAACGCAAAAGGUAGAACCAAAAAUCUUCGGAAUCGGAAGUGAAAGCGGAAGAAGAACUUACAUGAAUCAAUUCAUUCUUCACUGCUUUAAUUCUUCGAUUUUCAAUUCACCAGACCAACUCGAUCGUGAUUCAAACAGAUUUCUCCGGUCGUCUUCUCCGUUCACCGAUUUCACUGGAAAACGCCACUGUCGUUUGCGAUUCCUCCGUUCACAAUUCCUCCGCGCGCGAUUCCGAUUUAGGUCAUCGGAAAUCACAAACCUCCGUUUUGCACCGUUACUAUUCUUUGAUCAAU
rnacentral:lncRNA from 1 species